rnacentral:rRNA from 1 species
UCUCCCCCCUCUAAUCAGUGAAACUGAUCUCCCCGUGAAGAAGCGGGGAUAUACAUAUAAGACGAGAAGACCCCAUGGAGCUUUAAACCUGACAGCACCCGCUCAUUCUAUACCCCAUUAUUUGCCCGACCCCUGUCUGCUCAGUUUUAGGUUGGGGUGACCACGGAGUAUAAAAUAACCUCCAUGAAGAAGGGGAUAUUUCCCUUAUUAGAGAACCACACUUCCAAGAACUAAUAAAUUAAUUUUCAAUGACCCGAUACCCGAUAAUCGAUCAACGAACCAAGUUACCCUGGGGAUAACAGCGCAAUCCACCCUGAAAGCCCUUAUUAACAGGUGGGUUUACGACCUCGAUGUUGGAUCAGGGUAUCCCAGUGGUGCAGCAGCUACUGAGGGUUCGUUUGUUCAACGAUUAAAACCCU